rnacentral:rRNA from 1 species
AUUGAACGCUGGCGGCAUGCCUUACACAUGCAAGUCGAACGGUAACAGGGAGCUUGCUCCGCUGACGAGUGGCGAACGGGUGAGUAAUGUAUCGGAACGUACCUUUUAGUGGGAGAUAACGUAGCGAAAGUUACGCUAAUACCGCAUAUUCUCUGAGGAGGAAAGCAGGGGACCUUCGGGCCUUGCGCUAAUAGAGCGGCUGAUAUCAGAUUAGCUAGUUGGUGAGGUAAAGGCUCACCAAGGCGACGAUCUGUAGCGGGUCUGAGAGGAUGAGCCGCCACACUGGAACUGAGACACGGUCCAGACUCCUACGGGAGGCAGCAGUGGGGAAUUUUGGACAAGUGGGGCAACCCUGAUCCAGCCAUGCCGCGUGAGUGAAGAAGGCCUUCGGGUUGUAAAGCUCUUUCGGCCGGGAAAAAAUCGCAUGGGCUAAUACCCUGUGUGGAUGAUGGUACCGGAAUAAGAAGCACCGGCUAACCACGUGCCAGCAGCCGCCGUAA